rnacentral:lncRNA from 1 species
CGCGGCAGCAGUUCCCCCCGGCCGGCCCGGGCACGGGCGGGCGGCGCGGCGCGGCGGGGCGGCGGGCGCGGCGGUGGGGGCUCGGCCGGAGCCGCGGCGGGCCUCCAGACCGGGGCGAAGACGGGCCGCGCGGGCGCGGGGGAGCGCAGCAGGUCGCGGCGGCGGCCGGCACGGAGUGCGGGGCGGGGGGCGGGGAGGCCGGGGGGGCAGGGGGCGGGGGGCGGCCGCCGGGGCAGGCUCAGCCCGAGCGGCGGGGCAUGCCGCGCCGGGGUGGCGGCGGCCGGGCGGCGUGGAGCUCGGGCGCGGCGCGGGCCCCGGGUCGCUCCGCCGCUCUCUCACAGCUCCUGGCGUCGCCGCUCUCCAGCGCCAGCGUCAGCGGCCAGCCCGCCUCAGCUCCGCCGCCGCCACCGUCGCUGCUGCUGCUGCCGCCGCGACCGCUCCACUUCUACAGACUUGAUUCUUCGACAGUCUCGCACGGCGCCUGCGCGGCGCCGGUGUUCCCUUCGGAACACCGCGCAAAGUGAUCGAGUGCUUUUCCUCCACUUUCCCUCACUUCGCGCCCCACCCGGCUGUCCCGACCACCCUCAGGAUGUUUUCCUCUGGUGUGCCUCUGGGCCAAAUCGUGCUAAAAAUCAUUUUUUUUCUUUUAUGCAAGGACACUUUGUCACUUGGUUUCCGUCAGUCUCCUGAGAAUGGGGAAUUUAGGUCUAGCGUGGUUCACAGUUCUGGUUUUUUAGGAGUUAUACUUGAAAGCUCAAUGUCGGACACAUAGCAUGAAAUCCGUCACUGGUGCUUUGCAUUUGUCUUGGAAAGGACAUACGCCCCGCCUGUCCCUUUUACUAACUAGGGAGACUGUGAAUAUUCCCAAGCCCAGCACCACGUGCACACGCCGCCAGCUGGCUCGCGCGUUUUCCACGGAGCCCUCUGGAGGGGAGGGAGCGCGGUUCGGACUAGCCUCUCCCGAACACCAAGUGCCGCUCUUAGCCCCGUCCAGCCCGCCCUGUUCAUCGGGGGCCUCGCCGCGCCAGUCGCCCCGGCUGCCUUAUGUAGGUAUGCGCGGCGGGCGCGUGACGUGGGCGCGGGGCCGUGGGCGGCCGCCGCCGCGAGUGCGCACGCUCCGCGCAGACGUGCCUCGGCGCCGCUGGCACUAGGGCCUCGUGGAACGAAUGCACAUUCCAGGGAUCCGGGGUCUACGGCCAGCGCGGCCGCGUCACAGCGCAGGCUCCACCCCCUUCGGCGAGUCUGGGCGUCGAGGCGCCGCCCCCGGGCCCGAACUUGGACUCGAG